rnacentral:tRNA from 1 species
CGAUAGUGUAGUGGUAUCAUAGCUACCUCCCACGCAGCUGACCCAGGUUUGAUUCCCGGUCGG